GUGCAAACUUGAUCACUAACUCUGCAUGAUGUUGCAGAUGUGAAGGGAACCACGUUUGCUAAAGAAAUUGUGGUGAUAGAAGUGUAUUAGCCUCAGAAGCUACUGAGGUGGUUCAUUGUAUCCUAGUACAGUA
ensembl:snoRNA SNORA66 Small nucleolar RNA SNORA66